rnacentral:tRNA from 1 species
GAGCCAUUAGCUCAGCUUGGUUAGAGCGCACGGCUGAUAACCGUGAGGUCGCCAGUUCGAAUCUGGCAUGGCUCA